rnacentral:tRNA from 1 species
GUGAAAUAUUGGAAUUACUUAUAUAAUUUAUAACUAUUUAUAUAGUUUUUUGCUUUUUCUAAGACUACGAAUCAGAAGGUCGGGAGUUCGAAUCUCUCUGGGCGCACCA